rnacentral:lncRNA from 1 species
UGCAAAACGAAAGGCUGCUGACGACCUCACACAGAGACCAUCAAAAAUCAUUCGUGCUGGAUUGAAAGAUGUUGGUGAGGAUUCUUUACAUCCUAAGGAUUUAAAGUCUGUUUCAAAGGCAAUGUAUAGAGUGAGAAGGAAAUCCCAACCGAAUUUGCCUAAGUCAAGAGAAGAGGUUCACACUCUCUUUGAAGGUUAUCCUGUACAGACCUCAAAAUUCGAAAAUUUUCUUCAAGUCAAUGACAGAGAAAAUGGAAUAAUCAUCUUUACAUGUACAACCAAUUUAG